UAUAGCAUGUUUACACGGUAAAGAGAUAGAUAAUUUUAUAAUAUGGAACAGCAGUACUACGUCACACACCGCCACGCGAGCUAAAAUCAAACUGGCUUUAUAAAGACUGAUGAUGUAUCACGUUCUAUAGUGAAAGCCACAGGAGUUUGGUGGAAUUGACGAGAGAUCUACAUAAAGACAAUGUUAAGACUUCUGUGGAUUUUGAGCCUGGUCAGCUUUUGUGCAGUGGAAGGUAUCGACACGUUUUGUGCCUGUAAGAAGGAUUAUUUAGAUUGCAGAGUACGCUGUUUUUCUGUUAACCAAAUGUUCCUUGCCAAGUGUUCUCGGAGAUGCAGUAAUGCCUACCUAUAUUGUUUCAAAGAUUGUAUGUGACAGACAAUUAACUAUUUGGGAUAUUUUAAGAGAAUGGAUCUUAUUCGACGAUAUUUGCCUUGUGUUAAUUGAAAUUCUGAAUAUGUAAGUUUAAAAUACCUUUUAUGUAUUGAAGGUGUGGAGUAAAGGCAACUUUCAAAGAA